AGAGUUUGAUCAUGGCUCAGGACGAACGCUGGCGGCGUGCUUAACACAUGCAAGUCGAACGGAAAGGCCCCUUCGGGGGUACUCGAGUGGCGAACGGGUGAGUAACACGUGGGUGAUCUGCCCUGCACUUUGGGAUAAGCCUGGGAAACUGGGUCUAAUACCGAAUAGGACCGCAUGCUUCAUGGUGUGUGGUGGAAAGCUUUUGCGGUGUGGGAUGGGCCCGCGGCCUAUCAGCUUGUUGGUGGGGUAAUGGCCUACCAAGGCGACGACGGGUAGCCGGCCUGAGAGGGUGUCCGGCCACACUGGGACUGAGAUACGGCCCAGACUCCUACGGGAGGCAGCAGUGGGGAAUAUUGCACAAUGGGCGCAAGCCUGAUGCAGCGACGCCGCGUGGGGGAUGACGGCCUUCGGGUUGUAAACCUCUUUCAGUAUCGGCGAAGCUCCAGGAUUUUUCUUGGGGUGACGGUAGGUACAGAAGAAGCACCGGCCAACUACGUGCCAGCAGCCGCGGUAAUACGUAGGGUGCGAGCGUUGUCCGGAAUUACUGGGCGUAAAGAGCUCGUAGGUGGUUUGUCACGUUGUCUGUGAAAACUCACAGCUUAACUGUGGGCGUGCGGGCGAUACGGGCAGACUGGAGUACUGUAGGGGAGACUGGAAUUCCUGGUGUAGCGGUGGAAUGCGCAGAUAUCAGGAGGAACACCGGUGGCGAAGGCGGGUCUCUGGGCAGUAACUGACGCUGAGGAGCGAAAGCGUGGGGAGCGAACAGGAUUAGAUACCCUGGUAGUCCAA
rnacentral:rRNA from 1 species